GAUGAACGCUAGCGGCAGGCUUAAUACAUGCAAGUCAAGGGGGUAGCAAUACUACCGGCGCACGGGUGAGUAACACGUACAUAACAUACCAUAUACUGGGGUAUAGCUUUGGGAAACUGAAGGUAAUCCCCCAUAACAUUGCGAGAGGGCAUCUGAUUGCAAUUAAAGUUUCGACGGUAUAUGAUUGAUGUGCGUUUGAUUAGCUUGUUGGUAGGGUAACGGCCUACCAAGGCGACGAUCAAUAGCUGGCGUGAGAGCGCGACCAGCCACACUGGAACUGAGACACGGUCCAGACUCCUACGGGAGGCAGCAGUAGGGAAUAUUGGACAAUGGGCGAAAGCCUGAUCCAGCCAUGCCGCGUGAUAGAUGAAGGCCCUCUGGGUUGUAAAUAUCUUUUUAUCUGGGAAGAAACAAUCUUAUUCUUAAGAUCUUGACGGUACCAGAGGAAUAAGCACCGGCUAACUCCGUGCCAGCAGCCG
rnacentral:rRNA from 1 species